CUGUUCCAACAAUAUACUUAAUAUUGACGAAUUUGUUGGCAGAGCUUUACAGUUAUAGACACAAUCUAUACAAAGCUGGCGGAGACGAAAAAAAAUUAAUGAAAGAGACCAAGAAACAGAAAGUAGCAUAAAUGAUGGGUCUGUGAUUAGCGCUGAGAAUUUUUUUAUAC